UACGAAGGGGGCUAGCGUUGCUCGGAAUGACUGGGCGUAAAGGGCGCGUAGGCGGCCAUUCAAGUCGGGGGUGAAAGCCUGUGGCUCAACCACAGAAUUGCCUUCGAUACUGUUUGGCUUGAGUUUGGUAGAGGUUGGUGGAACUGCGAGUGUAGAGGUGAAAUUCGUAGAUAUUCGCAAGAACACCAGUGGCGAAGGCGGCCAACUGGACCAACACUGACGCUGAGGCGCGAAAAGCGUGGGGAGCAAACAGG
rnacentral:rRNA from 1 species